AUUGAACGCUGGCGGCAUGCCUUACACAUGCAAGUCGAACGGCAGCAUGGGUGCUUGCACCUGAUGGCGAGUGGCGAACGGGUGAGUAGUGCAUCGGAACGUACCGUGAAGUGGGGGAUAACGUAGCGAAAGUUACGCUAAUACCGCAUAUUCUGUGAGCAGGAAAGAGGGGGAUCGCAAGACCUCUUGCUUUACGAGCGGCCGAUGUCGGAUUAGCUAGUUGGUGAGGUAAAGGCUCACCAAGGCGACGAUCCGUAGCGGGUCUGAGAGGAUGAUCCGCCACACUGGGACUGAGACACGGCCCAGACUCCUACGGGAGGCAGCAGUGGGGAAUUUUGGACAAUGGGCGGAAGCCUGAUCCAGCCAUGCCGCGUGAGUGAAGAAGGCCUUCGGGUUGUAAAGCUCUUUCGGCGGGGAAGAAAUUGCGCUCUCUAAUACAGGGUGUAGAUGACGGUACCCGCAUAAGAAGCACCGGCUAACUACGUGCCAGCAGCCGCCGUAACAC
rnacentral:rRNA from 1 species